CCAUCCCGCAGAAGUGUCUCUUCAUUUUCGACAGAAUCCCGACUAGUCGGUUAACAGAAAGGAAAAGGAAAAGAGGCAAUAACUAUUGUUUUAAACAACCUUUUUUAUUGCUUAAAAACCUUGAGAAGAGUUUUGAAGUUCUGACCAUUUGAACUAUUUCUAUUAUAUACCUUUUAAGAACAUGGUGACCAAUAGGUGUGACCGAGGUGUCUGAGUGCCCGCUCACCAGCCUGGCAGAAAGUUCUGGUCCCUUGACAAUAAAACCUGCCUCUCUGCGGGGUCUUCAGCCUAACCUCUGCCUCUCUCUUGAAGAUUCUUUGUAAAGGUCAUUCAUGCAGAGACAUCCCUAGAGUUUGUCCUGAAAGGUACAGGGGACACAUUUAUAAAGUUUUUUUAAAAAAACGUAUCUUUCCUUUAUGUGAAGCGUCUCCCUAGUGCCUUACUGAGGAAGCGGUUGACCCCUUCUGUCCCCAGGCAGCAGUGUUCCUGGACAGCGCCCUUACACACCCGGGCCUGCCUUUCUCACUAGUGGGCGACAGAGGUGACUGCUUUAAAAACGCCCCCAUCACCCUCGUGCCGGGCCCCACCCAUCCUCCUUCCUCCCUGGCUGUGCCUCCCUUUGCAGAAAUGCUGCGGAUGGUGUUCCCCUGGGAGCCCGGGACUGGCACCUACUCCUUGGCCUCAGCUGAGACCCUGAGCCCUUGACCCUCUGGGCUGCCUCGCACAAAGCCCUUCACCUCUGUUGGCCUCAGUUUCCCCUUCCGUCACCUGGACUGAGCAGGGUCUCUGAACAGUUUGGGGAGGUCAAUGGCCCCUGUAAGAAUUUUCAGAAGCGAUGGGUCUUUUUUUCCAGAACCAGGUCAGUGGGUGCCCAGCUAUGCUCAUGGCUGUAGAGGUGCCUGAAUUAACCCUUUUAGUCCUCGCCACCACCUCUUGAGGUCACUCCUUUUAUUAGCUCAUUUCAUAGAUGGGAAAACUAAGACAUAAAUAGGUAAAAUAACCUGUCCAAGGUCCCGCAGCCAGUAAAUGGUGGGGCUGAGUUAGAACCUGAGCAUCUCUGUGAUCUUGGACAAGCGGCCUCAUUGACCUGAGCCUCAGUUUCCUGAGAAAAGAGACCCUAACUAGAUCCUAACCUGUAGAUGAGUCAGGGGCACAUGAGGUUGGAAAGUACAUAGUAAGUACUCAUUAAAGAGUCCUCCUUUUUCUUUUUUUAAUUAGAGGAUAAUUGCUUUUUAAUGUUGUGGUCUCUGCUGUACAUCAACACUGUCGUUGGUUUGAUAUG
rnacentral:lncRNA from 1 species